rnacentral:rRNA from 1 species
GAUCUGCCUUGCACUUCGGGAUAAGCCUGGGAAACCGGGUCUAAUACCGGAUAUGACCACGAGAUGCAUGUCUUGUGGUGGAAAGAUUUAUCGGUGCGAGAUGGGCCCGCGGCCUAUCAGCUUGUUGGUGAGGUAACGGCUCACCAAGGCGACGACGGGUAGCCGACCUGAGAGGGUGACCGGCCACACUGGGACUGAGACACGGCCCAGACUCCUACGGGAGGCAGCAGUGGGGAAUAUUGCACAAUGGGCGAAAGCCUGAUGCAGCGACGCCGCGUGCGGGAUGACGGCCUUCGGGUUGUAAACCGCUUUUGACAGGGACGAAGCGCAAGUGACUGUACCUGUAGAAUAAGGACCGGCCAACUACGUGCCAGCAGCCGCGGUAAUACGUAGGGUCCGAGCGUUGUCCGGAAUUACUGGGCGUAAAGAGCUUGUAGGCGGUUCGUCGCGUCGUUUGUGAAAACUUGGGGCUCAACCUUAAGCUUGCAGGCGAUACGGGCGGACUAGAGUACUUCAGGGGAGACUGGAAUUCCUGGUGUAGCGGUGAAAUGCGCAGAUAUCAGGAGGAACACCGGUGGCGAAGGCGGGUCUCUGGGAAGUAACUGACGCUGAGAAGCGAAAGCAUGGGUAGCAAACAGGAUUAGAUACCCUGGUAGUCCAUGCCGUAAACGGUGGGUACUAGGUGUGGGGCUCCUUCCACGGACUCCGUGCCGUAGCUAACGCAUUAAGUACCCCGCCUGGGGAGUACGGCCGCAAGGCUNAAACUCAAAGAAAUUGACGGGGGCCCGCACAAGCGGCGGAGCAUGUGGAUUAAUUCGAUGCAACGCGAAGAACCUUACCUGGGUUUGACAUACACCGGAAACCUGCAGAGAUGUAGGCCCCCUUGUGGUCGGUGUACAGGUGGUGCAUGGCUGUCGUCAGCUCGUGUCGUGAGAUGUUGGGUUAAGUCCCGCAACGAGCGCAACCCUUAUCUUAUGUUGCCAGCGCGUAAUGGCGGGGACUCGUGAGAGACUGCCGGGGUCAACUCGGAGGAAGGUGGGGACGACGUCAAGUCAUCAUGCCCCUUAUGUCCAGGGCUUCACACAUGCUACAAUGGCCGGUACAGAGGGCUGCGAUACCGCGAGGUGGAGCGAAUCCAUUAAAGCCGGUCUCAGUUCGGAUCGGGGUCUGCAACUCGACCCCGUGAAGUUGGAGUCGCUAGUAAUCGCAGAUCAGC